rnacentral:lncRNA from 1 species
UGAUUUUCAUCACUACAUUGGUUAAUUAACAAAAGUAGGUAGUUCAAAGAAGUUAAUUUUGUUUAUAGCCUCAACUGUUUAAAGACGUCAUUGAGCGCUCAUCCUGAAAGCCUUGUGAUUUUAUGUUCAGGUGGCAAAUGACCUGCAUUAAUGUAACAGUGGAAACAUUCCAAUAUAUUAUUUAGGUUCUGAUAAUUAAACACUUGUUUGCAUUCUCCUUAAUGCCAUAGAGCUCUAAUGUACUGUGCAUUUGUUUUCUAUCCCCCUCGUCAAUUAUGCACUAGUACCAUACAGCGUAAACAAUUUUUUUCUACAGGAAGAAGUACUUCAGUAUCCCUAGUUCACAAAAAUUAGAACUGUUGGGCUGAACAGGCCAUUGAUUUGACCUCCUGCCUCAUUCUCCUCUUUAAGAUCACCGAGUGACUGAAGCUGAUGCUUGAAAAAGUGACCUCACUCCUUCCAAUUCCCAGUGACAGGUAAGCUGCCUUCCACACCUGAAUUUGUUCCUUCAGCUCAAACUGGUGCUGUUUGUACAUGACGUUGCAUUGGGUGGUGUAAACGUAACCAGAGAUACUGCAGAAGUUUUCCAGCUCCCGGCUUCCCAGAAGUUUCCUCUGACUUUUUACCCUGGCACACAGCCAGGCUGCUGUCCUGCCUGCCCCGUCCCGAGCUGUCUGCUGGGUUCCUGUGCCCUUAACUUCAGAGAUGGAGGUGGGAAGAGAAGAGAAUUUGAUUUUGUGGUUCGCCCAGUACAUUUUGCGUGCUUGUUUUUCUCACAGCUCAGUCCAUCUCUCUAUUCACAAACAUAAUAGAGAAGGGGGACAGAGAGGAGAAGAGGCAUUUAGGCUUCAGUCACUCCUACUGCUUAUGUGCUGA